UACGAAGGGGGCUAGCGUUGCUCGGAAUCACUGGGCGUAAAGCGCACGUAGGCGGCUUUCUAAGUCAGGGGUGAAAUCCUGGAGCUCAACUCCAGAACUGCCUUUGAUACUGGAGAGCUUGAGUCCGGGAGAGGUGAGUGGAACUCCGAGUGUAGAGGUGAAAUUCGUAGAUAUUCGGAAGAACACCAGUGGCGAAGGCGGCUCACUGGCCCGGUACUGACGCUGAGGUGCGAAAGCGUGGGGAGCAAACAGG
rnacentral:rRNA from 2 species